GGUAUAAUAUGCUCAGUGGUAGAGCACAUGCUUAGCAUGCAUGAGGUCCUGGGCUCAAUCCCCAGUACCU
rnacentral:tRNA from 1 species